ensembl:snoRNA
UCUCCUGUUCUUGGUGGGGGUCAAGUGGGUGGUCCCCACCCCUGAAAUGUAUUGAGGCAGAGGAAAAGGGCUCCAACCUUCUCUGUACUAUGUGUUUCAGUCCACCAGUUCAAGUGCCACAACAUGGGUUCCAAAAACAAAUACAAAACAAAA